UACGUAGGGCGCAAGCGUUGUCCGGAAUUAUUGGGCGUAAAGAGCUCGUAGGCGGUUUGUCGCGUCUGCUGUGAAAACCUAAGGCUCAACCUUGGGCUUGCAGUGGGUACGGGCAGACUAGAGUGCGGUAGGGGUGACUGGAAUUCCUGGUGUAGCGGUGGAAUGCGCAGAUAUCAGGAGGAACACCGAUGGCGAAGGCAGGUCACU
rnacentral:rRNA from 1 species